rnacentral:lncRNA from 10 species
ACUUUCUGUCCCGCUGUUUUAUGGGGAAGGCGGGGGAAGACACGCAGACAUCAAUUCGACUAAACAAAGUUUAUCAAUAAUAUUAAAAAUAAAAAGUAAAGCCCCUUUCUGAACAUUAUGGCUUAUUCCUUGAUUAUCCUUCUUAAUGCCACAGCGUGGCUAUCUCAGAACAAAAUUAGAGACUAACAGUAAAUUUACUUUAAUUUUUACGAAUAAUUCUCUAUCAAUGUAAAAAUUUUUCAUAUACGCGUGUAUGAAAGAAAAACACUACUAUUUUUCCACAUUCGUGAAAACUGCUUAACUGGGACAGUAACCGAGCGGCCAGUGAAUAUUUAAAAUACUGUAACCGACGAAUACGUAUGCUUCUAGGACCACGUGGAAUCUUUCCCAUGGUAGGUAAGAAGACCACUGGCCAUGGACUGGUUCUGGCUGGUCUACAGAGGUCGCACAUUUGCAUGGCUUCAUGUCCUGAAAGACCUUUUGACGUAUAGGGCUCGUAAUACAUUUAAAUGUUAAGUCUUGGCUGGGUGUGGUGGCUCACGCCUGUAAUCCCAGCACUUUGGGAGGCCCAGGUGGGAAGAUCACGAGGUCAGGAGCUUGAGACCAGCCUGGCCAACAUGGGGAAACCCCAUCUCUACUAAAAAUACGAAAAUUAGCCAGGCGUGGGGGCAGGUUCCUGUAAUCCCAGCUACUCAGGAGGCUGAGGCAGGAGUAUCGCUUGAAACCGGGAAGUGGAGGUUACAGUGAGCUGAGAUCACAUCGUU